GAUGAAGAACGUAGCGAAAUGCGAUACGUAAUGUGAAUUGCAAAUUCAGUGAAUCAUCGAGUCUUUGAACGCACAUUGCGCCCCUUGGUAUUCCAUGGGGCAUGCCUGUUCGAGCGUCAUUUGUACCUUCAAGCUUUGCUUGGUGUUGGGUGUUUGUCUCGCCUUUGCGUGUAGACUCGCCUUAAAAUAAUUGGCAGCCGGCGUAUUGAUUUCGGAGCGCAGUACAUCUCGCGCUUUGCACUCAUAACGACAGCGUCCAAAAGUACAUUUUACACUCUUGACCUCGGAUCAGGUAGGGAUACCCGCUGAACUUAAGCAUAUCAAUAAGCGGAGGA
rnacentral:misc_RNA from 1 species